CAUUGCACGGUGGUUCUGCCAUCCAGACCUUUCUAGGAGGUGGACUCGGAGCUAUUUCCCUCUGCAGUUUUUGUCAUCGAUCUUGCCACCUUCUCCUUUAAAAUAAGGUUCUUCAAAAGUAGGAAGGAAUCAAUGGGCAGAUGGGAUGCUUGCAGAGAAAAUAUGUUGCAGAAUAUAGAUGUCUUGGAGAAGAUAAAUACAGAAACGGGACAGAAUGGAUGGAAAAGAAACACAGGUAAGAAAUGGAUUAAUAUAUCACCCAUCUUGACUUGGAAGUAAGUCUCACUGUGGGUCUUACUCGCCAGGAUUGCGAGCCAUAGGGAAAUUGUUAUUUGAAUAGGGAACAUGAUGUACAAUUUGUCCAACUCUGUGCAUAAGGCACAAUGAUUUUUUUCGUUGUCUUUCCAUGAAAAGUGCUAGAUGUGAUACCAGUAUAGGAAGGCAGAUAUUUUCAUGAAAGUUGCUGGAAAGGAUUUGCAUUUCUGUUUGCCUACACCUUGAAAUCUUGCCAUAUUUAUGAUUUAAAGUGGAGGUGUGAUUUAACACACACACACACACACACACACAGAGAGAGAGAGAGAGAGAGAGAGAGGAUCCCAGUGGCUUUCUCUGUUUAAAUAAUGAAAAGGGGCAGAAUAGCUCAUGAGGUUAGUAAUUACUUAGGAUUUUUUAAAUUUUGUUUUACCUCUACUUGGAAAAGCAAUUUGUUUUCACCUGACAGCUGUUUAGCAUGUUGUGUGUUCAAUGGUUUGAUGGUUUUGGGCAAGUUUCUAGUGGGCAGCUGUCCAUGCCACACAGUUGGUGCCCAUGUUGACAAUCUAGCUCCCAUUGUUAAAGGAAUGAAUUGGGUGUGGGGACUGAACAGCUCUUCCCUUUACCCUAGUGUUACCGUGUAGAUAGAAUUUGGCAGUAAGAGCAUAGGAGGCGG